GAUGAAGAACGCGGCGAAAUGCGAUAAGUAAUGUGAAUUGCAGAAUUCAGUGAAUCAUCGAAUCUUUGAACGCACCUUGCGCCUUUUGGUAUUCCGAAAGGCACACCUGUUUGAGCGUCAUGAAUACCUCAAUCUCCAUCUUUUCUUCGGAUUGAUGGGUGACUUGGAUGUUGAGCCCUGCUGGUAUGCUAUAUCAGCUGGCUUUAAACUUAUUAGCCGGCUCUGUACUGGAUCGGUUUGACUCGACGUGAUAAUAUUAUCGUUGAGGAUGCAUGUCUCAUGCAGCCGGAAAGUAUCAAAGCAGCUUCUAGCUUGCCUUUAGUGCACUUUUACAUUUUAGACCUCAGAUCAGGUGGGACUACCCGCUGAACUUAAGCAUAUCAAUAAGCGGAGGA
rnacentral:misc_RNA from 1 species